CAGUCUCAGGAAGCACGAGCAGGGCUGGCUUCGUCCCAACUCCCAACGGCAGUCGGCUGCGGAUACUGAUUCCUUCCACCCAUGGUGGGUCACCACCGCCCCGGCCGGCCACACGGUUCGGUUUCGAGAUCAGAGAAAGCGAAAAGACUGGCAGGCCAUGAGCGAGGCAUGCAUUGCACAGCCUAAAGAAAGAGCGGGGCGUGCACGCCGGAGGCAGCGGCGGAGGCGACAGAAAUGGGAACGGAGAGCAGCAGGUACAGCCAGCGGUGGAGCGGAUGGUGUGGCCGCUGUGGAUCGGGUAGGGUAGGGUAGGACGCUUAGGAGCAGGACCACCGGCGCCGAGGGCAGCGAUCCCGAGACGAGGAGAAGCAGGCGAACUCGCAUGGCGGGCGCACACACGAGCGAGACUGCGAGAGAGCUCGGUCGGCCAUCGAUCCAUCGUCUGAAAUGGAUCGAAAAAGGGGGGCCGGGCGGGCACGCCAGUCGUUACCAGCGCCUCUUUUGCUUCUUUCGGUCGAUGCAUGCCCCCGCCUCCGCCUCGGCGUCCGGUGAGAUCCUUGCUUUCUUCCUCGCCGCCCUUUUCCUCUUUUUUUUUUCUGCUUUCCGCCCUUCCCGACAGACUAUCCUGUGUGUGCCAUGUUCUGACGAGGUUCACAAGUCCAUCUGCCUCCGGAACAGCACGAGGAGAGACGCUGCUGCCUGCUGCUGGUCGGCCCGCUUACUCGCUUCUUCUCUCAUCUAGCACGCUUGAUCUGCUGAUCAUACACCAGCUUGCCAUGAACUCGGAGCAAACCUAGCUUCUUUGGAGUUCCGUUCAGACGCGUUCAGCUCAACGCGACCUGAAUUUUCGCAUUCAGAGUCUCAGACGGAUGCGUAUCCGAUACAUGCAGCAUUCAGGUAGCCCUGUUUAGGCGAGGCGAGCGAGACACGCUCGUCUUUACAGGUCCCUGCCAAUGAUCGCCGCACGCCGGCGUGCUGCUAAGCGCCGACGCUGGCGCGUCGUGCUUGUGGCUGUCAUGUGCCCAAAGGAGGACAGGAUCGUACUAUGCAAGACCGAGGAAGCGAAAAAAAGGAAAACCGAUCGGCUGAACGGGGAAGCAGCAGAUCCGAGGAACCAGAGCAGGAACAGCAUCAUUGCCAUCAAAAUGCGUGUGAUCGACGUUGGAUUUCGCACGAUGUGGAGUAUAGAGACAGCGGUCGACGAUGAAGGUGAAGGUCAUACAGUUUCAUGCCGAUGGAUCAAAAGCGGUGAAGGAUGAGUGUUGGGCCUUGACUGAGGGACUAAAGAAAUUGGAUGACCAAUCAUGGUGACUGAUACCUGAGGACAUCAACAAGCACUGGCACAUUGUUGCCAAUGCGAUUGAGGAUCGGCAAAACAUCUGUCUAGGAUAUGGGAGAUAUGUAUGGAGUACGCUACCUAUGGAGAUUUGGUGGUUGAGCUUCGAAACCACCCUACGACAGUUUUAUGGGCCUAGCCUCAAUAUGUAGUGAUGUGGUUUCAAUGGGCAUCAGAGGCAGUACAUAGGGCCAUUGUAAAGGUUGUGUCAUGGCAAAACAACUUCGUGAAGAGAGUGUGGUCGUUAGACCGUCAAAAUGAGAGUUUGUCUAUUUUGAUCCUAAUUGAGUGGAUAAGGUUUAUGUAUCUAAGGGUAUAUUGUGUGAAAAAUAUCAUCUAUAAAUAGGAAGGGUUGCACCAACCAGCCAUCUAUCUAGCUUUUUAGA